ACACUACAUCCAAUUACACCUCUGAAAGCAAAUAUUACAUACAAACAAAACCCUGUAUUAAAAGGCUAAAAUUAUAUGCAAACACUAACUCUUCUCAAAAACGUACACCUGAAUUUAAAAGCCACCAAUACAUACAAACACACACCACUGCAAUCAAACGCAAACACUACACACAAGUACACCACUGCAUUCUACAGUACAUACAAUAUCACCCAUACCUGCACACGCAUAUACUUUAUACAAAAAC